rnacentral:rRNA from 1 species
GACGAACGCUGGCGGCGUGCCUAAUACAUGCAAGUUGAGCGCUGAAGGUUGGUACUUGUACCAACUGGAUGAGCAGCGAACGGGUGAGUAACGCGUGGGGAAUCUGCCUUUGAGUGGGGGACAACAUUUGGAAACGAAUGCUAAUACCGCAUAAAAACUUUAAACACAAGUUUUAAGUUUGAAAGAUGCAAUUGCAUCACUCAAAGAUGAUCCCGCGUUGUAUUAGCUAGUUGGUGAGGUAAAGGCUCACCAAGGCGAUGAUACCUAGCCGACCUGAGAGGGUGGUCGGCCACAUUGGGACUGUGACACGGCCCAAACGCCUACGGGAGGCAGCAGGAGGGAAUCUUCGGCAAUGGACGAAAGUCUGACCGAGCAACGCCGCGGGAGUGAAGAAGGUUUUCGGAUCGGAAAACUCGGUUGGUAGAGAAGAACGUUGGUGAGAGUGGAAAGCUCAUCAAGUGACGGUAACUACGCAGAAAGGGACGGCUAACUACGUG